UUAUACCAGGCUAACUUAUGAAAAGGUUUCUGUUCACUCGGAUUAGUGAAUUUGUGUGUUGCAUUAUGGCUUAGUGCCAGAGGAUUCAGGAGACUGGGCUUUCCAUUCUACUUUCACAAUGAUGUGGUGUAUGAACUGGACCAGAUCCCUGAGUAUUUUAUCUUUAAGUCUUUGCGUAUCAUACAUUGCAUGCAAGGGUGAUUUGGCUCAAAGUUUGUCACCCAUCGACUGCCAAGGUUCAUUUGGCUGAUUGACCGACUUGGCCAACUAGUUUUUUUCUAGACUCUAGAUUGAUUUCCUCGGAAAUAUCACAAUUUCAAUAUCGAGAUGUUUGCAGCAAUAAAUUACUGGACACAUUUCCAAACACUCUUCUAGCUCUAACGCUACAAGUAACUUCGCUACUUUCAGUUGCCAGUGAAGAAUAUAGAGAUUCAAAAUUAAAAUGUACUUAAAACUACUUAAGUUCUGCUACACCUCAAGAAAACCAGCACAUGUAAAUGGCAACACUCGGAAAUCCUCUGAAAAGGAAGGAAGACAGAAGGGCAGCACCAUCAACCUUCUAUGUUUUACAGGCCCCAUCUUCUCUCAGGAUAUCUCCUAUACCUGCUGUGUGAGCCAAGCAAAGGCCCCAGGCUUCAUGUCUAUGUUAAGUAUUGGUAAAGUUUAAUUUCCAUAUUUUUAAAAAACAAAAUAAAU